GUUAGUGGUGCAGGUGAUUUAAUUUGGUGAAUGAAGUAGCUUGCUUUAGGCGGUGAUAAUUUUUCUUAAUUGCAAUUAAUUAGAUGCAAGUAGCGUUGCAUCGUUUUGGAGGGAAAAUAGCAUCUUCAAUUUUGCUUUUAGUUGAAACUAAAGUUGAUGGCAAUUUGAGGGAGUAUGGUGAUUGCAAUUUCUUUUUGAAUGAAGAAGUGUGCUCACAAUGCAGCUG
rnacentral:lncRNA from 1 species